rfam:Massilia timonae CCTG 45783 genomic scaffold supercont1.1, whole genome shotgun sequence.
GCCGACUUAGCUCAUCAGGUAGAGCAGUUGAUUUGUAAUCAUCAGGUGGCGGGUUCGAGUCCUGCAGUCGGCA